rnacentral:lncRNA from 1 species
AAAAAAAAAACAAUUGGAGUCAGCUCCUUCUCUGUUGCUUGUGUCGCCCCCACACAACUGAAAACGUGGAAAUCCAGUGCCUUAUCCUAACAAGAAGACCCUAAUCUCACCAGAGUUGCAUAUCCAAUCUCUAGUUAGUCGGUGAUUAGUUAAGAUUGGUGUCUCCGAUCCGCAUCCACGGCAUCAUAUUCUGCCUAUAUAUGCGCUCUCCCGCUGAUACUUGCGAAGUUUGCUAGUAGUACGUACAUACACAUCGUUCUAGCUCUCUUCGCCGUUCACGAUGGCGAGAGCACUCCUGGAGUCCGCAGGCGGCGCCGCGGCCGCGCCGGGCUUCCUGCAGCCUUGGCUCGCGGCGCUCGGCAUGGUAGUGGCGUCGGUCUGGGUCGUCUCGUUCGCGGUGUUCCUCUGCGGCCGCAGAAGCUCCCACGACGACGACUACGGCGUCCCCAGGAAGAAGCCCGCCACUGCUGCCACGGCCCCGAAGGGGAGCAGGCCGGCGAGCAUCGCGCCCACUAAGGUGAGGUCGUCGAGGN